rnacentral:rRNA from 1 species
UACGAAGGGGGCUAGCGUUGUUCGGAAUCACUGGGCGUAAAGCGCACGCAGGCGGAUUGAUAAGUCAGGGGUGAAAUCCCGGGGCUCAACCUCGGAAUUGCCUUUGAUACUGUCUGUCUUGAGUCCGGGAGAGGUGAGUGGAAUUCCUAGUGUAGAGGUGAAAUUCGUAGAUAUUAGGAAGAACACCAGUGGCGAAGGCGGCUGACUGGUCCGGAUCUGACGCUGAGGCGCGAAAGCGUGGGGAGCAAACAGG